UAUUAUUGCUUCCUUCCAACGUACUAAAAUGUUGUGUUAAAAUGACAUGAUGGGUAACAUAUAUUAUCAAUGCUAUGAGAAAAUCUGUAAUUUUGAUAUCUGCAAUUUGGGAUCUUGCGUACAUGGAUGAUGCAUAGAUGGCUAGCUCCAGUACUUCACUCUUAAAAGCUCCAGUAGUUACUUUUUAUGAAAAUAAUGUUUCUGUCCUGGAUGUAUGUGUUGAUGUGUGGUUGCUAAAAAAGAAAAGAAUUCACUUUGUCAUGGAUCAAGGUUCACGUCUAUAUUUUCUGGAAAGUUAGCUUCGUCUUGGCGAUGCUUUUAAUAAAAUACAAAAUUAUAGUUAUAAGAACAGAGGGAGUACUGUAAAAAAUAGACUAUGCUUCCUCUGCCAGCACUCAAAACUGUGUGAAAUUUGCUUUUUCCUAUCAAGUUCAGUCAAUUUUGCUCUGAAGUUCAGAUCGUUCAUCCGUGGAAGUUUAGUUUAUCUUUUAUGCCAACAUGAGUUUGGCAGACUGCUCUAGUGCUAAGUCGCGCCAUUGCUUCCACAGAAAUUAACAAAUUGUAUUGAUCUGAAGUUCUGUUAUGUUGGACAAGUUAAGUUUGUUCGCAUAGAAUUUGCAUUUUUUUGGAAGUUAACUUUUCAUUACUGAGGAAUCCACUUCGUCAGUAGGAAGAGUCCACUUCUAGCUAGUAUGAAAAAAAAAUUUGUUCACAUUAUUAUCAGAUGCUUUCGGCUAGUAUGGAAAAGUAGUAGCUCACAUUAUUAGCAGGGGUAGUUCACUGUCCAUAGUUCGGUAAUUUGCAUGGCCUGUGACAUUUACAGUUAAAAGCACACAUGUUUAUUUAGUGGGUUAUACAUGUGUUUGUCAGGGGAAACACACGACUACUUCCGUGUAUUAAUUUAAAUGUGUGGUACGUGUUUGUUUCAUUGCCUGCAAGGUGAGCUGCACGAGGCAGAUUUCGAGUUGCAUCAGCGGUGGUGGAUGGGAGGUCGGAGAGGGGCCACCGGUGUUGUUGUGCGGGGAGGUGCGCUGACGCCCUGUAUUCGAGCGUAUCAUCUUAAGCACAGGAGCUCUUUUUGUCUGCUUGGCCGUUUAAACAAAAAGAAGGCGUGAAUUUGAGUUGAUGUUGCACUCCAGUGAUAAGAUCGGAAAAUAUAAAUUCUUAAUGAUAUGCCAAAAUUUCGAAGAAGCUAUCCAGUCAGGUGAUGUUCCUCGAUUUGUGCAGUUCCUUACCAGAGAGGAUUUUCACCAGCUGCAGUUUGAAGCCUUUAUCUGCACCUUGGGGCUAUUGGGAGUCCAUACCACUUGAAGUGUGAAUAACAGCUGGACACCCCCAUAGCGUGUGUCCGAACUCUGCCUGAGACGCUUCUGAACUCCUCCCCGCCAUGUCCCGUGAAGAUGUUCACCAUAUGUGGUGCCAGUGAACUCCGGCACCCUUUUCUGUGAAGUCUGGUUUCGUUGUCGUCCCACAGGCUGGACUCGAUGGCGUGCGGCCACCUGCCCAUCACAGUGGCGCAACAUGCGGAGUAGUGAGCUAGCACAUGAUGUAACCAACACGGGAGUUCACCCUGCGCCGUCCUCGAAGCCCACGGCUUGGCGGGUCUUUCAUGCCCAGUUUACAGUGUUAAAAGAUACCAUUGCUGGGUAGUUUACGACGCCUGGACUGGGGAUUCAGUCAGUAUGUAUCAAUGUAUGUGCCGAUGCGUUUCUGACUAUAGAAAGGGGGCUGGACUUCCAAGACAAGGUAGCAGCAGUUGGAAGUCAGCUCCAUGCAAAAGGCUGGACUGGUGGACUACAAUGAGCCCUGGUGGUGGUCCGGCCACCAAUUCCUUUGUCUCCUAGGGCACCGGGAAAAGCUUUGUUGUCACCUUCUAUUUUACAGGUCUUUGAAAUUGUGGUAUAUGGGAUGUCUUGUAAAAAGAUGUUGAGAUGUAAAAUUUGCGUUUGGAAGUUCACUUCAUCUACCAGGGGAAGUUUGCUUCUUGUCUA